rnacentral:lncRNA from 1 species
GAGUUGGUGGCUGUAAGGCCGGUGCCUCCUUGGGAGCCGAGUGGACACCUCCCCCCACUCCCCGCGCCUAAAAACUACGUCAUCAUUCUGAGCACAUUGCUCAGCAUUUGCCCUCUCCACGCGGACUCCCCCCCUUUCCCAUUUCCGCAUUCCAAUCUCAGCCCUGCACCUGCCAUAAAUUUUGAAAAGGCCUGCCAAGAGCCUGCCCUAUGGUAGCUCCCCCGUACAUCCUCGGCCAGCCCCUCGUCCGUGCUCACGCCCUUCAUACCCAAUGGAAAUGCCCCCGCUUUGUUCACCUAGCCCGUCUCCAGUUUUUAAUAACCAAUAGAACUACCUCGUCUUUGUUUCCCCCAUAGUCAAUCAGCUACCUCUAUUCCCUAUAAAACCCCACGCCGCAAGAAGAGAAGCGCGACUUCUCUGGCCCCUUCCCGACCAUAGAACCCUCGCCCGGGAGCCGAUAAAUUGGCUUUUAAUUUCCUCACUCCGGUCUCUGUUUCCUCAUUGAACUCGGCGAGAAGUCUAACAUUUGGUGCCGAAACCCUCUGCGAGACCAGGAGCCUUCCGCCCCGAGGCUCACCCCCUGCAUCUCCAUGUGAGGGGCAGGCCAGUCCAAAGAAUGCAGUCCCUUCAUUUAAACUCCUCGGCCUCAUGGACAAUUGAUGCAGCCCAGACUCGAGGACCUCCAUCACCCUUGCCAAGCCUAGGAAAAUGCUGCAAGUAGCGGGAUUUGUGGGUUUUUUCCAUCACUGGAUUCCUAACUUCGCCACUUUGGCUAAGCCCUUAUAUGCGGCAGCCAAAGACACUCCCACGGGACCUCUCUCCCAUCCAGGGGCUGUGAAGCAAGCCUUUAAAAUUCUGCAGGCUGCCCUGUCCACGGCACCUCCUCUUCAAUUGCCAGAUCUUACACGUCCUUUCCACUUGUUCACUGAUGAAAAACAGGGAACAGCAGUGGGGGUCUUAACCCAACCUCUAGGCCCCAUCUAUCGUCCUGUAGCCUAUUUGUCUAAACAGCUCGAUCCCACUGUCAGAGGAUGGCCGCCGUGCCUGCGAGCCCUAGGAGUGGCAACAGAGCUGACCAAGAAUCCCUAAGCUUACU